rnacentral:tRNA from 16 species
AGUUGGAAGAUGAAAUGCUGACUUGUGAACAGUGACUUGUGGGGUCAGUCGGUAGAAAGAGAUUUUCCUACUGGCCUGUCAAGUCGGUGUUCACAUGAGCAGCUCAUACAGCUCACGCAG